CAGCUUAGGGGAGAGAUGAUAAAGUCCUAUACUAGGAAGGGGUAGGGAGGGACUAUAUGAGUGAAAAGCAAGGAACAGAUGGAAGGGGUGUUAUAGAAGUAGAAAUGGAAACAAUUUGUUUGGAUUUGGUGGAUGGUAGGAGGAGAUAAGGAUGGGGAAGGGUGAAGGCUAAUUACAACAUGGCAAAGCUGAGUUGAAGGAUUUCAAGCUCUCCAUAAAAAGAGGGAAUUUUGGAGAGUGAACUGAAGAUAUCACCACCAAAUCCUGUGUCUAUAACUGAUGGAUAUUAUAGUUGUUGUCAAGCAUUAAGCCCAGCUUGAAAUAGACAAGAAGGAAAGGGAGAUUUUAGAAGCAGAGAAUUAAAAAAAGGACUCAUCGGAUCAACGAGCUUGGAUAAGAUACUAUUACAGGCAAGGCAUUAGGUUGAAGAAGUUUGAUACUUGAAACAAGCCUGUCUUACCUUUGUCUGAUAAAAGAUGUCAUGACCACUCAACUGUAUUUCUAUGAGGAUCGCCAGAUGAAUUAAUUACAUAGUGUGCUAAUUUUGUCAAUCAAAAUCCCUGCAAGUGCAGAAAAAAAAACUGUUACCUUGUGAAAUUCAUUUGCUUGUACUCACAGUGAAUCAUGGCCAGAUAUGAAGAGGAAAUGGAUCUCAUUUUUGGACAAGAUAAUACAAAAAAGGAGCACAGAUUUAACCUGAAUAGUGCCAAAAGAGCACACAGAUCAAAAAAAAAAUCAAAAGAAGAACCAAUCCAGAAACUGAACUGUUUGGAGAAGAUACCAUGAAGAUGCCUCCAGACCACAAGCUGCAUGAGAAGAUCAAGAAUGAACUUUGGUUGAUUGAACAUUUAUUUGUAUGUAUACUCUUAUGCCAAGAGGGAUUUCCCCCUAACUGGCUUUUUGUCAAUGCACAUAGCAAUUAUUGGUUUUAUUCUCUUAUCCUCAAAUUAUUGUAAUUUCAAAGUUGGUAUAUUUAUAAGACCCAUCGCAGAGACUAGUCUUCCUUGGGCCUCAGGGGGGGGAUGUAAAAAUGGAGAUUUGAACCUUAGACUUCAAUCCCCAGAAGUCCUUGGUAUUCCCCAUAAUUCCCUAUAAUCUCACCUGAGUCUCCACCUGGGCAAAAUCACAAUUAGUAUUUAAACUGGAAGUAAUGCCUACCUCUCCCUCUUGUAUGCUCUGCUCUCCCAUUGCAAUAAUGUAGUAAGUAAGCUAAGUGUGGGUAUUCUGAAUUGGCUAAUCAGCCAUGGGCAUGUGGUUUCUUAUUUCUAUAUUUUCUUUAUUCCUUGAAUUCUAAUAAUCCUUAAUAGACCUCAUAAAAUAUAAUAUUUUUAUUACUAGAGACUAAUUCAAUUUUUACAGUUUUAGAACAGAUUAUUUAGAAAAACUGAGGAAUCACUGUAUUUGCAAUAACUUUUCCUUGGCCUGGGAGUUCUGGAAUUUGCCUAUAAUAGUCUUGGAAUUUUAAAUUUGAGAUUUCUUUCAGGAGAAGAUUGGUAAAUUCUUUCCAUUUCUAUUUUUCCCACUUGUUUGAGAAUAUCAGGGCAAUUCCUCCUGAUGAUUUCUUGCAAUAUGCUGUCCAGGGUCUUUUUUAUUUCAUGGCUUUCAGCUGUUCUGAUGAUUCUUAGAUUUUCUCUCCUGGAUAUAUAUUUUAGGUCAAUUGUUUUUUGAGUUAAAUAUUUCAGAUUUUGUUCUAUUUUUUUUCCAUUCCCACGACUGUUUUAUUGUUUCUUUAUGUCGUAAGGAGUCAUUAGCUUUCAUUAGUCCAAUUCUAAUUUUUAGGAAAUUAUUUUCUCCCUUGAGCUUUUAUGUUUCUUUUUUCAUUUUCCCAAUUCUAUUCUUUAAGGAGCUUUGUUUUUUCCCCCAGUGUAUUUUUUUCUAUUUCAAUGUAGCUCACUUUAAUUUUUAGGAAGUUGUUCUAUUCAUUGAUUUUUUCCCCCAAGCUGUUGAUGGUCUUGCAAUUCUCUUAUUAUUUAAUUUUUAAAACUUCUUUUCAAGUUAUUCCAGGAGUUCCUUGAGGACCUAAUGCCCUUUCACACUUUCCUUUGAAGUUUCACACAUUUCCAUUUUUACACUAUUGUUCUCUUCUUAAAUUUUAUGUUGAGCUCCCUGUCACUAAAGUAACCUCCCAAAGUCAGAUUUUUUUCUUUGUCUUUUAUUCAUUUUUCUAAUUUUUGUUAUUGUUUCAUUUUCUUACCUUGCUCAUAUUUUGAAGUUAUACUCUGUUCCUGGGGUAGAGGGAGCACUGCUUCAAGCUUACAGAGUACUCUUCGUUCAUACAUACACAUAUACAUAUACAUACACACAUACAUAUAGCCAUAUAAAUUUUUGUACAAAUAGAUAUAUGUGGGUAUAUAUAUAAACAAAUGUAUGUAUAUUAUAUAGUGAGAGACAGAGAUACUAUUUACCUAUAGACUAACAAGUUAUAUUCCCCCAUUAGAAUGUAAGCUCUUUGAUUUGAGAGACUUUUUCACUUUUUUCUUUGUUUUGCCAGGUCCUAUUUCAAUGCUUGAUAUAGAGUAGACAUUUAGUUAAUGCUUGAUACUUUACUGGCAAAUUGAUUAAAAAAAACUUUCACAAUGACAACAUGAAAACCAAAGUACAUUAUACUUUGAACUACGAAUGCCAAGAGUUAAUAAAUUCCUUAUUUGUGCAGUCAUGAAAGUCUUUUAAAGUCAUUGAUACUGGUCUAAGGUCAGGAACAUAUUAGAAAUGUUCUUUUAAUCCUCCAUUGACUUGAAGGAAAAUUGGUUCCCUAUCUUCUUCUUCUUACUAAGUUCAAAUGCUUUGGGCUACUGGCCUUCAGACCAAGUUUCUUGGACAGAGUAAGUGUGAAAUGAAAAAAUCAAAUCUACUGACAUUAUUCCUACCUAAGAAAAUUUCUAUAGUAAAAUUUUCAAUCCCAGAGAAAAGAGAGAAAUUACUGAAUAAAUCUAAAAAUGAUGCAAAUGAACUUAUGGGCUCCAAAGUUGGAAGGGUCAUUCAAAUCUAUGAAACCUAACAACUUUAUUUUAGAGCAAAGGAUAGAGACCCAGAUUAUUUCAAAUACUUGUCCAUGGUCACACAAAUGAAGACUAAGAGUCAGGAUUUUAAAUUCAAUUUCUUAAAGCCUCCAGUGAUACUUUCAUUAGUGCGAUAAAUUAAGCAUCUACUUGUGCAAAGUUUUGGGAACACAAAAACAGGAAUGAAAUAGUCACUGAAUUCAAGAACUAUGUAUUUAUUCAGCAAGAUAUUGCUCAUUUUUAUACUGAGGAAAAUAUUUUGUAUUAUUGGUUUUUCAAUGAUUAUAUAUCUUCUUCCUUUCUCUUUGUCUCUUUCUCUGAGUGGGAGAGGAUAAAUCUGUAGCCUCUUAAUUUCUUUCCCUUUAAUUAAUUUUUGAGAUUUGGAUAUUCAAUUCCUUGAGAACUGUCCAAAUUUAAACAUAAUGUUAUACUUAGAGCUUCACUUAAUAGAUAUAGUGCCCACUCUUUAUUUUCAUCAAAUGGAUUGGUAUAACACUAAAUUAAAAUUAGAACUUUCACCUUUCCUAAUCUUGAGAGAAAGAAAAAUGAUUGCAUAAAUAUUGCAUUAAUAUCCUCACAGAUGAUGCAAUGCAAUUAUCAUUCUGCCUAAACAUAUUCUUUUAAUAUGAUAAUGACAAAAACCCAAUUAAGCUAAGAUAGAACUGGUAAGAACAUUCCUGUUGGCUGUUUAAAUUCAGGAGCCAACGAAGCUAAAGAACAAUAAUCAUGAAUAAUAGCCUAUUCUGUUGAAACUAUUCCUGCUUACAGGAAAAGUUCUGCUUCAGAAGAGACAUAAGAGGAGGUUAAGAUUAAAUUUAACUCUCCCCUGAUUGUGAAAAUAAAAUUAAUUAACUCUCCCCUGAUUGUGAAGAUUAAAUUGCAACCCCUGCCCAGUUUUAAAUUUAAUCACCUAAAGUGUAAACAUAGUACUUAAAAGUUGAGUGGGGAGAUCUGCCCAUUUUUAGAUUUAAUCACCAAAGGUUUAAACACCCCAUUCAUACUUGAGUGGGGGGAGGUCUGUGACCCAUGUGUGCAAUAGUGGUAAUGAAUUGGAAUUAAACUAACUACCCCUGGGCAGUCUUAAAGCAAAGCUUCAACUGUGCUUGGUAGACAUAACAUUAGGGGAAGGCAAAGGAAGUGAUGCAAAAGAAAGUGUCUUUAAAAGGGAGUUACAACUUCCAGAGUCAGUUCUACUUGAAGUUCUACUUGGAGUGGAGGCUGAAGAAGAAUCUGCUGACUCGAUGUGAGACCCAGUUCCUGGUGAGGCUAUUCUUAACUCUCUUCCUUUUGGACAGACAAGGAGAGUGAAAAGGCUGACCACUUUCCUGGAUAUUUUCUGAAGAAACUAACCUCUGGAGAGACCUACCUCUUGAACUAGUAUUCCCCAGGUCCUUGGCUUUGCCAAGACUGGCUGAAACUAAGUCUUCCUGCCAAGGUUGAGCCAGGGACCAGGAAUAAAUUAUUUAGUGCUCAGGCUAGAUAUCUUACCCUAUCCUCUCUCUGGUUUUCUUACCUUACUCUUUCUAUAUUUUGAAAAUAAAUUUUUUGGAAUUAAUAUAAAUACCUGGUGACCCUAUUCCUAAAUAAUCCAGUACAACCUUUUUAAUAAAUAACUCCCUUUUCCCCCUUACAAGGGUAAAUUCUUAGGUGCUCAUUAACAUGAGUUUUCCAAUUGUUUCCCCAUGUUAGAUGGUGCAUGUUAGGGCUUUUGAUUUGUCUGUUUGUUUGUUAUUGAAGAUGUAUAUAUGGCAAAAGGUACUUAUACCUCAGACAAAGAGGAAAUGUUACUGCCAUACUUACCAAAAAAAUAAAGGGCUAGCUCAUGAUCCUAGGUUACAUAUACAUAUGAUGAAAUGAAAAUAAUCUCAACUCUCUUAUUCCUACUGCCUACAUAUUGACUUGACACCCUUUACUUCUAGAAACUUGAAUGGUAUUUAUCACUUGUUAUCUCUUGUCUCUUGCUCACAAUGACAAUUUUUUUUUCCUGUAUCACUUAGUGAUUAUGUUUUAAAAUGCAAAGCAUGAAAUAAAAAAUUGAUGAUUGACUUUGAGAGCUAACAAGGUUUGAUUACAGAAAUUCAAUCAAAAUGUCAGAAAUUAUCUCCUCCCCACCCACAUAUACCUAUAUGCCGACUAGAAAUGGUAUUUGAAAGGAUUUUUUAUGAGGGUCUCAUUUUCCACAUUGAUUUCCUUUGACAUAAGUAUUUUAUCAGUUCUUACCUUUUGUCCUAAAGAAUAUACAAGACUAGUACUCCCUUCUUGGUAUACAUAUGUUUUUGCCAUGUUAUGAACUGAUUCCACUGGAGAAAGAGCUCUAGGGUGGGUUCACUGAUUACUAUCUAUUUAUAUUGCUUUGGGCUCCUCUAUAGAAAUCCCUUAGGUCAUCCAUCUUCUUAGUUUUACUGAUAUUUCUGCAAUCCCAUCUAUAAUUAAAUGUCAUACUAAAAUCUAUUAGAGGGUACUAUUCUAAGGAUGUUCAAGGCCAGAGGUUCUCAGCUUUUUCUGUAUCAUGGACUCUCAUAUGGUCCAAUGGACCACAAUGAUAUUUUUAGACACUAAAUUUCAUUAAAAAGUUGUUGAAAAAAAGAUUCAAAUUUUUUUUGUCUUAUAGAUUUAUGGAUGUCCUAUAUUCUAUCCAUAAACACAGUAGAGUCUAUAGAAUCCAGGUAAAGAAUUUCCAUUCUAGGCACUGGCCAGGAGAAUAUCUAAAAUGUUAAGAAUACCAAAAUAAAAACAUUGAUUGGAGACAAAAAAAGAGAGAGGUAUUUAUUGGGGACCAUGAAGUACCUGGACUAAAGAGGACAUUUUUAGUUCAAUAAUGAAUAUGCAACCCCAAUAUCAUUUGAGACUUGUCAAUUACAUGAGGAAGCUUAGUGAUGUAGUGGGUAAAGUGGAAUCAGGAAGAUCUAAGUUCAAACCUUAUGUCAGAUAUUUAUUCACUCUAUAACCCUGGACAAGUCAUUAAACUCAUGGAGUCUCAACAUUAUCAUCUAUAUAAUAAAAAUAUGGUAUUGAUUCCCAAUCUGGGAAGACCAAAAACAGAGAAAGAAAACUAUGAGCCAAUAUCCUUAAUGAACAUAGAUACAAACAUAUUUAAUAAAAUACUAGCUGAAAGACUAUAGCAAGUUAUCACAAUGAUUAUUCAGUAUGAUGAGGUGGGAUUUAUACCAGGAAUGCAAGGAUGGAUUAAUAUUAGGGGAAAAAACCUAGGAAAAUAUUAGGAAAACACAUAAUUGACCAUUUCAACAACCAAAAUAAUAGAAAUCACACGAUUAUUUUAAUGAAUGAAGAAAAAGCCUUUGAAAAAAUAUAACACCUAUUCCUAUUGAAAACACUAGAAAGAAUAGGAAUAGACGGGCAUUUCCUCAAAAUAAUAAACAGUAUUUAUUUAAAACCAUCAGCAAGUAUCAUCUGCAAUGGGGAUGAGUUAGAUGUCUUUCCAAUAAGAUCAGGAGUGAAGCAGGGAUACCCAUUAUCACCACUACUACUUAAUAUUGUAUUUGAAAUUCUAGCAGUAGCAAUUAGAGAAGAAAAAGAAAUUGAAGAGAUCAGAGAAAGCAAUGAGGAAACUAAACUAUCAUUCUUUGCAAAUGACAUGAUGGUAUACCUAGAGAAUCCAAUAAAAUCAGCUAAAAAACUAGUAGAAAUAAUCCCUGCAGGAUAUAAACUCAAUGUCAUCAUCUAUAAAAUAGGGUUGUUGUGAGGAGGAAAUGAGAUAAGAGAUAUAAAGAGAUUUGCAAAACUUAAAACACUAUAUAAUUGAUUAGAGAGAAUAUUUCCAUGCAUUCCUGAAGAAAAAAAACAAGCAAACAGAGAAUUUGAUGUCUAAAUACAACAUUGAAGAGAAACAUAAGUAAGGGGAAAAAUUAGGUCUUCAAUAAGGUCAAAUUGUUUAUAUUCCUAUAUGGAAGAUGAUAUCUGCAACUUAUUUUUUUAAUCAUUAUCAUUGAAGUUAGAAGUAUACAUAGACAGAGGGUGUGAUAGUAAGCUGUUUAGAAGAAUAUUUUUAAAAAUCUAGAGGUGAAAAAGAGGAUUACACUAAGAGAAAUGGGAAGAGAGAAGGAAAAUGGGGUAAAUUAUAUCACAUAAAGAGGUAAGGAGA